rnacentral:rRNA from 1 species
UACGUAGGGCGCAAGCGUUGUCCGGAAUUAUUGGGCGUAAAGAGCUCGUAGGCGGUCUGUCGCGUCUGUUGUGAAAACUCGAGGCUCAACCUCGGGCUUGCAGUGGAUACGGGCAGACUAGAGUGCGGUAGGGGAGACUGGAAUUCCUGGUGUAGCGGUGGAAUGCGCAGAUAUCAGGAGGAACACCGAUGGCGAAGGCAGGUCUCUGGGCCGCAACUGACGCUGAGGCACGAAAGCGUGGGGAGCAAACAGG